AACACAACAAGAAAUCCAGGGAAUGGAGAAAGUGAAGAAGUCCAAAUAAUGGAGGAUUACCAGCUGAGAAAGGCUACGUGUGUUGGCAACUUAUCUUCACUAUAGCAUGGGAUGCAUCUGAGAAAGAUUCAUCAGGAGCAGUGGCAACUGGAAAGCUGAGAGAUGGACCAUAAUUAUGAAAGUAAGGUGGCCUUCAUCCCAGGAAAACCAUCUGUCUCACCAGGGAUUUUAAGACUAAGACUUUAAUGAGUGCUAACAUUAGAAGUGCAUGCAGACCUCUCCAACACAAAAUAACUGAGCCUGUCCUCAACCCUGUCUUCAGUGAACCUGAGAGCUUGAGAACACGGCUCAAAUGUGCACUCCCAUGCUUGCAGUGUGGGUGGACCAGGUC
rnacentral:lncRNA from 1 species